UUUCCUACGGGAGGCAGCAGUGGGGAAUAUUGCACAAUGGGGGAAACCCUGAUGCAGCGACGCCGCGUGAGUGAGGAAGUAUUUCGGUAUGUAAAGCUCUAUCAGCAGGGAAGAAAAUGACGGUACCUGACUAAGAAGCCCCGGCUAACUACGUGCCAGCAGCCGCGGUAAUACGUAGGGGGCAAGCGUUAUCCGGAUUUACUGGGUGUAAAGGGAGCGUAGACGGAUAAGCAAGGCUGAUGUGAAAAUCUGGGGCCCAACCCCGGAAUUGCAUUGGAACCUGCAUAUCUGGAGUGUCGGAGAGG
rnacentral:rRNA from 1 species